CUCUUCAUCCCUCUCCUUUCAUUCCCUCCUCCCCACACCCUAUCAGCAAACACAUCCUCUUUGCCAGCCAACUUCAUGUUGAGGGCUGUUAGGAGUAACCAGUUCUCCGUAGGACAGAUCUGAAUCAUCCCACGUGGGGUGUAUAGUCAUGUAAUGAGAACAUGUGGAAACAGGCCCUUGAAGAAGCUGGACUCAGGGCUGCCCACUGCCAACAUUUUCCAGGGUGUUCUAUCUGCCAACUUACUCCUCAUUUCCUGAUGGUAUAACCUUCUCCGGAUUGUCACCUACAAAUCAGGAGGGAAAGGAGCCUGCUCGAUCUUCUGGGUAUGUGAUGGGAAGAAACUAUUAGCAAUAAUCACUGACCGUUAAGAGCUACACCUGAUGGAGAACAUUGAGCAUUACUCAUAUAUCCUGGAUUUGAGCUGAAUGUAGUUACUGCCGUGAUUGUUACCUUUCUAAACGGAGGGUCUAGAGUUGAUAAGUGAACUGCAUUAUCAUGGCUUGAACACCUACCAGCUUUCUUGAUGAAAAAUAACACCCCUCAAAUCACCCUCCAUCUUUUUUUAUUUUUUUUCAGGUACACAGAGACACAUUGGAAACACAGUAUAAAACGGCUGCCAAUUUAAAAGCAGAAGAAGAGUAAACUCUAACGUAUAGUGGGAGAGUGUCAAGCUGGACCUGUCCAGCAGAAGUGAGACUUCCAUUGCCUCUUCUCUACUCUGUGAAAUGGCAGAAGAUGUCAGUCCCUGGGUUUGAACUUGGUCGAUAAUGCUUAUUCCCCAACCUUUUCCAAGCUACCUAACUCCCCAGAGUCUUUGUUUUCUUUUCUGUGAAUUAGGAGACAAAGAGUUCUUCAUUCUGAGGUUGUC